rnacentral:lncRNA from 1 species
GAGAGGAGGAGGAGGAGGAGGAUGGCUCACAACCUUCCUAUAAGUGUCAGCAUAGAUGAAGAUUAAGCUUCAUGUAUUUAUUCACCCACAAAUUAUUUGGAGGAAAAUCAAAGUUUUGACCUUCCCAUGGUCAUGGGUUCAUUGAGGAAAGGAGAAUGAAAGAAAGUUAGGAUGGCUCACAACCUUCCCAUAAGUGUCGACAUAGAUGAAGAUUAAGCUCCAUGUAUUUAUUCACCCACAAAUUAUUAGGAGGAAAACCAAAGCUUUACCUUCCCAUGGUCAUGGGUUCAUUGAGGAAAGGAAAAUUGAAGAAAGUUAGGAUUCAAGGAAGGAGAUGAAGUUGUGAGCUAAAUUUUCCUCUUUUGAAGAAUUCAAGGCUACUUCAUCAUCUGGGUCCGUCUAGGCAUUUACGACCCUAGGGAGCUUUGAAGAACUGAAGAAAAAGGUUGAUUUGUCUGGUUGGAAGAUAAAGUAUUACAAAUUAGUUUUUUUUCUUUUCUUUUUAUGGUGAAAAAAGUCUGUUGUUAUUAGUAUUCAAUAAUUAAUUAUUAGUACAACAGUAAUUGUGUGGGUUAAAAAACAAAUCAUUUAUCUCUUCUUUUUCAUCCUUCUACUUAGAUUAUUUAGAUUUUCACA